GUUCAAGCCUGCUGGGAAAACCCUGCAGUUGGCUGGGUCACAGAUUAGUCAAGGCAUCUGUGAUUUUCAGUCAGGACAUAGCAAGAAAGCAGAGGGAACCAAGGGAUUCUACAAUUUCAGGUAUCUGUUGCAAUUGACUAGAAGACUGAGAUCAAGGUGUCAACACGGCUGGUUCUGAUGAGGUCUCUUCUUGACUCAUGGAAGACUGUCUUCUCACUGUUCAUUUCUGAAAAUCUGUUUCUGAAGUCCUAACCAAAAUGAAGCUUUCACUUUUAAGGUAAAUUCAAUUUUUAUUCUAGUGUCCACCAUGUAAUAGAUACAUGGAAAUAUUGUCAGCAUU
rnacentral:lncRNA from 13 species